AAUAGAUACCCGGGUAGUCCAUGCCGUAAACGAUGUCUACUAGCCGUUGGGGCCUUUGAGGCUUUAGUGGCGCAGCUAACGCGAUAAGUAGACCGCCUGGGGAGUACGGUCGCAAGACUAAAACUCAAAUGAAUUGACGGGGGCCCGCACAAGCGGUGGAGCAUGUGGUUUAAUUCGAUGCAACGCGAAGAACCUUACCUGGUCUUGACAUAGUAAGAACUUUCCAGAGAUGGAUUGGUGCCUUCGGGAACUUACAUACAGGUGCUGCAUGGCUGUCGUCAGCUCGUGUCGUGAGAUGUUGGGUUAAGUCCCGCAACGAGCGCAACCCUUUUCCUUAUUUGCCAGCGGGUUAAGCCGGGAACUUUAAGGAUACUGCCAGUGACAAACUGGAGGAAGGCGGGGACGACGUCAAGUCAUCAUGGCCCUUACGACCAGGGCUACACACGUGCUACAAUGGUCGGUACAAAGGGUUGCUACCUAGCGAUAGGAUGCUAAUCUCAAAAACGCCGAUCGUAGUCCGGAUUGGAGUCUGCAACUCGACUCC
rnacentral:rRNA from 1 species